rnacentral:misc_RNA from 1 species
GAGUAUCAUGCCCUUCGGGGUAGAUCUCCACCCUUGAAUAACAUACCUUUGUUGCUUUGGCAGGACGCACUCGUGCCAGGGGCUUCGGCUCUUGAGUGCCUGCCAGAGGACCACAACUCUUGUUUUGUACAGUCUGAGAAAAAUAAAAAUAUUUAAAACUUUCAACAACGGAUCUCUUGGUUCC